rfam:Loxodonta africana unplaced genomic scaffold scaffold_1, whole genome shotgun sequence.
GCAUUGGUGCUUCUGUGGUAGAGUUCUUACCUUCCAUGCGGGAGACCUAGGUUUGAUUCCUGGCCAAUGCA